rnacentral:tRNA from 1 species
AAUGAAUUGCCUGAUAAAAGGGUUACCUUGAUAGGGUAAAUAAUGCAAUUAAUAUUGCAUUCAUUA